GACGAACGCUGGCGGCGUGCUUAACACAUGCAAGUCGAGCGGUAAGGCCCUUUCGGGGGUACACGAGCGGCGAACGGGUGAGUAACACGUGGGUGACCUGCCCUUAGCUCUGGGAUAAGCCUGGGAAACUGGGUCUAAUACCGGAUAUGACUCCAUGACGCAUGUUGUGGGGUGGAAAGCCUUGUGCGGCUAGGGAUGGGCCCGCGGCCUAUCAGCUUGUUGGUGGGGUGAUGGCCUACCAAGGCGACGACGGGUAGCCGGCCUGAGAGGGCGACCGGCCACACUGGGACUGAGACACGGCCCAGACUCCUACGGGAGGCAGCAGUGGGGAAAUCUUGCGCAAUGGGCGAAAGCCUGACGCAGCGACGCCGCGUGAGGGAUGACGGCCU
rnacentral:rRNA from 1 species